AUGGACAACGAUCUAACAUGCACAAGAAAAAGACAUAUGGGUUCCUAUGAAUCCUACCAAGGAAAAGUCUUUAAGAAAACCAGAGCAAAUGUUCAGUUUACAGACCUUCCUGAGGAUAUGCUAUCUAUGGUUCUAUCAAAGUUGCCACUAAAGGAUGCUGUAAGGAGUGGCAUUCUGUCAAGUAAAUGGGAAGAUAGGUGGAUGUUAUGCCCCAAACUAAGAUUUGAUGUUCUCACAGUGUCUAAGAAUGUGUUUUACGAACAACAAUACACUCAGAAAUUCAUUAAGACCGUGAAUACAGUUAUGCAACAACAUCAGGGCAUGGUUGUUGAAGAGCUCAUGAUCAAAUUUGAGUUUGACUGCAGGAUACUAGAUCAUAUAAAUUCAUGGGUUGCUUUUGCUGUAUCAUCGCGGACGAAGAGCCUUGCCCUUGAUAUAGCACCAACCGAUUACUUCGGUCGUACUGAUCAGUACAGAUUUCCGCUCGAGCUUUUAGACAAUGGAAGCAUAUUUCAGCUUCGUCAUCUAAAACUUAGCUUUGCAUCAUUUGAACUGCCCCCUCAAUUCAGCGGUUUUCCAAAUCUGAGAACACUUGACUUGUACUUGUUAUGUGUCAGCCGGAAGGAUCUUCAAGAUAUGCUGUCAAAUUGCAUUAAUCUUGAGUGGUUUAGUAUGUUUAGAUGUCACCUGAAUGAUGAGCUGACAGUAGCUUGUCCAUUGUCAAAGUUAUUAUACUUCCGUGUUGUGCACUGCAAGGUAACAAAGAUAGUACUCAAUGCGGCAAAACUCAAAACUUUCAUUUUCUAUGGGCGUCUGUAUCCUGUUGACCUUGGGGAUGCUCCAAACUUGAAACACACAUUUCUUGAUUUCUAUACCCCAGUGACUCUUGAACAUGCUUUGACUAUACUUCCUAAAGUGCUUCCAAGUGUUCAGGAUCUGACAUUGCGUGCUUCACUCAAGAUGCCCUUGUUGAUGGAGACCUCUUGCAAGUUUUCCCACUUAAAAUGUUUAGAUUUGUGGUUGAUUUUAGAUGACAAAGAAGUUGACAAUAUUCUGUCUUUGGCCUCACUUUUGAGGGCUGCUCCUUUCGUUGAAACGUUAGGGAUGAAUGUGAGCAUAUUUCGUGUUUUUGGUGUCCCACAUCAUGUCUCAGAGCCUGUUAAAAGCAUUACCAGGUGUCCACAUAAUCAUCUAAAGAACCUGCAUAUUACAGGAUUUUCUGGAACAACAACACAACUUGAAUUUCUAGUGCAUGUUGUUGAAAGUGCCCAUGCCCUGGAGAUUUUGACGAUUAAUGGACCUAACAUAGCUCGCCGAGAUGAUAAAUGGCUAAUAAGAUUCCGUUCCCUAGUUCAAGAAUUGGAGAGGAAAUAUCUUCAUGAAAUAAUUUCACCAAAUGUGAAGCUCUCAAUU
rnacentral:rRNA from 1 species